GAAACCUGGAGUAAAGUGUCUUGCUCAAGGACACACUGGUGGUGACGGCUGCGGAGAUCGAACCAGCAACCUUCUGCUUACCAGUAGUCUUGCUUAUGGAGAGCAUGCAAAUGUUUGGAGCAGACACAGCCGCAGCCAGAUUGUCCCGCACAUCUUCUCCCACUCUUGCUUCAAGGUUGUGGGGUUCAGGGGUCCAUCAUCAUGGUCUUCUUCAUCCUCUGGUUCAACGAUGUCCCCAUUGAGAAGAGCAGCAAUGAGGGAUAUUAUGGAUGGCAAAGACAGGCGAAGGUGUUCAAGGUGGUCAGCUGCAGAAUUGGCACAGCUGUGUUGAGAUGGCAGUGGGAUGUGGGGUUCACUGCCUGCAAAUACGUGAUUGUUAAAAGUUUGAAUAAAGCUUUGUUUCAUGUGUUAUUUACUUGUAUAUGCAUUUAUUUAUUGUCAUGUUACUUUUAUUAAUUCUUUUACUUUUUUUAUUUUGCUAUUAUUAUCAGUAAAUGUAUAUAUUUUAUUAAUUAAUGCAUUAUUUCAUUGCUUGACUGUAAAUGGUGAUGUAUUCACGUCGGCUGUAUUUGUCUAGUGUGUAUUCAUGCAUAGCUAUGUCAUAUUACAAAACAUUACAUUUUGCUUGUUUUACUAAAGAAGUAAAACGAAAAGUAAUAUAAUUAAGCUUUGGUCAGCAUUUAUCAUUAUUAUUGUAAGUGUUGGGGUGGGCUAGCAAUGCAAUUCAUUCUGGGGUAAUCUUAAUUUUUAAGUAGUGAUACUUACAUUUUUUGAGUAUAAAAUCAGUCUUCUCCAAAGGCGAGAUCUUCGAGCAGCUGCCUGACGUCUUCUUUGUGCAAACAUUGCUAACACUGAGAAAAACUGUACUAGGUAGGGUUGUCGAGUUACUGGUGCUGUGAGGUGUUAGUGCACCUGUUGCUCAUAUCUUUAUUUUUAUUGCAGGACCUAUAAUUACAUACAAGAUCAGGGAAAAUACCAUGGUUGUAUCUUUAACAAUGAACAAUAA